rnacentral:rRNA from 1 species
AGUCACUGCUAUUGGGAUUCGAUUAAGCCAUGCGAGUCGAGAGGGUUCGGCCCUCGGCAGACUGCUCAGUAACACGUGGAUAAUCUGUCCUUAGGUGGAGGAUAAUCUCGGGAAACUGAGAAUAAUACUCCAUAAAUCUAGGAUGCUGGAAUGCACCUAGGUUGAAAGCUCCGGCGCCUAAGGGUGAGUCUGCGGACUAUCAGGCUGUAGUCAGGGUAAAGACCUGACUAACCUACGACGGAUACGGGUUGUGAGAGCAAUAACCCGGAGACGAUAUCUGAGACACGAUAUCGGGCCCUACGGGGCGCAGCAGGCGCGAAACCUUCACACUGUGCGAAAGCGCGAUGAGGGAAUCCCAAGUGCUUGCUCGUAAGAGUAAGCUGUUUCUAUGUCUAAAAAGCAGAGAGAGUAAGAGCUGGGUAAGACGGGUGCCAGCCGCCGCGGUAAUACCUGCAGCUCAAGUGGUGACCACUAUAUUGGGCCUAAAACGUCCGUAGCCGGUUUAGUAAAUGCCUGGGUAAAUCGAGCCGCUUAACGGUUCGAAUUCCGGGUAGACUGCUAAACUUGGGACCGGGAGAGGCUAGAGGUACUCCUGGGGUAGAGGUGAAAUUCUGUAAUCCUGGGGGGACCACCAGUGGCGAAGGCGUCUAGCUAGAACGGGUCUGACGGUGAGGGACGAAGCCCUGGGGCGCAAACCGGAUUAGAUACCCGGGUAGUCCAGGGUGUAAACGCUGCUUGCUUGAUGUUAGUUGGGCUCUGAGCCCGAUUAGUGUCGGAGAGAAGUUGUUAAGCAAGCUGCCUGGGAAGUACGGUCGCAAGGCUGAAACUUAAAGGAAUUGGCGGGGGAGCACAGCAACGGGUGGAGCGUGCGGUUUA